rnacentral:rRNA from 1 species
UUUGUGGAGAGUUUGAUCCUGGCUCAGGACGAACGCUGGCGGCAUGCCUAACACAUGCAAGUCGAACGGAGAGCUGAAGUUUCGAUGGAAGCUCUUAGUGGCGGACGGGUGAGUAACGCGUGGAUAACCUGCCUGA